CAUGCAAGUCGAGGGGCAGCAUGAACUUAGCUUGCUAAGUUUGAUGGCGACCGGCGCACGGGUGAGUAACACGUAUCCAACCUGCCGAUGACUCGGGGAUAGCCUUUCGAAAGAAAGAUUAAUACCCGAUGGCAUAGUUCUUCCGCAUGGUAGAACUAUUAAAGAAUUUCGGUCAUCGAUGGGGAUGCGUUCCAUUAGGUUGUUGGCGGGGUAACGGCCCACCAAGCCUUCGAUGGAUAGGGGUUCUGAGAGGAAGGUCCCCCACAUUGGAACUGAGACACGGUCCAAACUCCUACGGGAGGCAGCAGUGAGGAAUAUUGGUCAAUGGACGAGAGUCUGAACCAGCCAAGUAGCGUGAAGGAUGACUGCCCUAUGGGUUGUAAACUUCUUUUAUACGGGAAUAAAGUGAGGCACGUGUGCCUUUUUGUAUGUACCGUAUGAAUAAGGAUCGGCUAACUCCGUGCCAGCAGCCGCGGUAAUACGGAGGAUCCGAGCGUUAUCCGGAUUUAUUGGGUUUAAAGGGAGCGUAGGCGGACGCUUAAGUCAGUUGUGAAAGUUUGCGGCUCAACCGUAAAAUUGCAGUUGAUACUGGGUGUCUUGAGUACAGUAGAGGCAGGCGGAAUUCGUGGUGUAGCGGUGAAAUGCUUAGAUAUCACGAAGAACUCCGAUUGCGAAGGCAGCCUGCUGGACUGUAACUGACGCUGAUGCUCGAAAGUGUGGGUAUCAAACAGGAUUAGAUACCCUGGUAGUCCACACAGUAAACGAUGAAUACUCGCUGUUUGCGAUAUACAGUAAGCGGCCAAGCGAAAGCGUUAAGUAUUCCACCUGGGGAGUACGCCGGCAACGGUGAAACUCAAAGGAAUUGACGGGGGCCC
rnacentral:rRNA from 1 species